UUUAAUGUUAGUUGGAAUAAAUGGCUUAAGUGCCUAUGUUUAAUAUUGGAUAUUCGUUGGCAUAUUUGUAGACCUUGGGGAGCCCGAGGCGUAGAUUGGAAUUUACUUUAUAUUGGCCAUCUUGGAGUGCGUACGAGACCUUGGGGAGCCCGAGGCGUAGAUUGGAAUUUACUUUAUAUUGGCCAUCUUGGAGUGCGUACGAGGUAUGUAAAGCAACCUCCCUUCUUUUUGGCAUGUCUUAGUUUUACAUAGGCUAGAUUAGAGCCUUAAGGAAAUUCCAAAUCCGAAAUCCGAGCAUGAUAUGAUCUAUAUAUGUUCCUUGGCACUCUUAUGUAUGAUUUGAUGAAAUAUGAACCUUUAUGUAUUUGAAAUAAUCGCUUUCCAAACUUUGCGCAAAAAGGUUUCACUUUAAAGAACUUCGGAAUUUCUGAAUGCCAUACAUUUCACAUAAAUGCUCGGAUUACUCCAAUAUUUUUAUAAAAGUUUGCAUUAUGUAUGAUACGUAUGUUUUUCAUAGGCGGGCCCGACUUGGGUAAAUACCCGUCCGUGGGUCCCGCGACUUUCCUUUAUGUAAUUCAGAGAAUCUUUGAAAGAAUUUGGUAUGAUUAUUAUUCCGAUUUCAAAUA